rnacentral:rRNA from 1 species
AUUGAACGCUGGCGGCAGGCCUAACACAUGCAAGUCGGACGAGUGGCGGACGGGUGAGUAAUGUCUGGGAAACUGCCUGAUGGCGGUGGGUGACUGCUGGCAACGGUAGCUAAUAGCGCAUACCAUCAGAUGUGCCCAGAUGGGAGUAGCUUGUUGGUGGGGUAACGGCUCAACAAGGCGACGAUCCCUAGCUGGUCUGAGAGGAUGACCAGCCACAUUGGAACGGAGAAACGGUCCAGACUCCGACGGGAGGCAGCAGUGGGGAAUAUGGCAAAAGGGGCGCAAGCCUGAUGCAGCCAUGCCGCGUGGAUGAAGAAGGCCUUGGGGUUGUAAAGUACUUUCAGCGGGGAGGCGUUACCCGCCGAAGAAGCACCGGCUAACUCCGUGCCAGCCGCCGCGGUAAUUC